rnacentral:rRNA from 1 species
GACGAACGCUGGCGGCGUGCUUAACACAUGCAAGUCGAACGAUGAAGCCCAGCUUGCUAGGUGGAUUAGUGGCGAACGGGUGAGUAACACGUGAGUAACCUGCCCUGGACUCUGGGAUAACCCCGAGAAAUCGGAGCUAAUACCGGAUAGGACCUUUCCUCGCAUGAGGUUUGGUGGAAAGUUUUUCGGUUUGGGAUGGACUCGCGGCCUAUCAGCUUGUUGGUGAGGUAAUGGCUCACCAAGGCGUCGACGGGUAGCCGGCCUGAGAGGGUGACCGGGCACACUGGGACUGAGACACGGCCCAGACUCCUACGGGAGGCAGCAGUGGGGAAUAUUGCACAAUGGGCGCAAGCCUGAUGCAGCAACGCCGCGUGCGGGAUGACGGCCUUCGGGUUGUAAACCGCUUUUAGUAGGGAAGAAGCCUUCGGGUGACGGUACCUGCAGAAAAAGGACCGGCUAACUACGUGCCAGCAGCCGCAGUAAGAC